GUUGUAUAGUCAAGUAAUUAAGUGCAUGUGGUGGAUGCCUUGGCAGUCAGAGGCGAUGAAAGACGUGAUAGCCUGCGAAAAGCUCCGGGGAGGCGGCAAAUAUCCUUUGAUCCGGAGAUGUCUGAAUGGGGGAACCCACCUACUUUAAGGUAGGUAUUGCAACAUGAAUACAUAGUGUUGCAAGGCGAACGAGGGGAAGUGAAACAUCUCAGUACCCUUAGGAAAAGAAAUCAAUUGAGAUUCCCUCAGUAGCGGCGAGCGAACGGGGAUCAGCCCAUUAAGUUAUGUGUGUUUUAGUGGAACGCUCUGGGAAGUGCGAACGUAGAGGGUGAUAUUCCCGUACACGAAAGGGCACACAUAAUGAUGACGAGUAGGGCGAGGCACGUGAAACCUUGUCUGAAUAUGGGGGGACCAUCCUCCAAGGCUAAAUACUCCUGACUGACCGAUAGUGAACCAGUACCGUGAGGGAAAGGCGAAAAGAACCCCUGUGAGGGGAGUGAAAUAGAUCCUGAAACCGCAUGCAUACAAGCAGUGGGAGCACCUUCGUGGUGUGACUGCGUACCUUUUGUAUAAUGGGUCAGCGACUUAUAUUCAGUAGCGAGGUUAACCGUAUAGGGGAGCCGUAGAGAAAUCGAGUCUUAAUAGGGCGUUUAGUUGCUGGGUAUAGACCCGAAACCAGGCGAUCUAUCCAUGAGCAGGUUGAAGGUUGGGUAACACUAACUGGAGGACCGAACCCACUGUCGUUGAAAAGCCAGGGGAUGACUUGUGGAUAGGGGUGAAAGGCUAAUCAAGCCUGGUGAUAGCUGGUUCUCCCCGAAAGCUAUUUAGGUAGCGCCUCGGACGAAUACCAUAGGGGGUAGAGCACUGUUUCGGCUAGGGGGUCCUCCCGACUUACCAAACCGAUGCAAACUCCGAAUACCUAUGAGUACUAUCCGGGAGACAGACUGCGGGUGCUAACGUCCGUAGUCAAGAGGAAAACAAUCCAGACCGCCAGCUAAGGCCCCAAAAUCAUAGUUAAGUGGGAAACGAUGUGGGAAGGCAUAGACAGCUAGGAGGUUGGCUUAGAAGCAGCCACCCUUUAAAGAAAGCGUAAUAGCUCACUAGUCGAGUCGGCCUGCGCGGAAGAUGUAACGGGGCUAAAACUAUGUGCCGAAGCUGCGGAUGUAUACUUUGUAUACGUGGUAGGGGAGCGUUCUGUAAGCCGAUGAAGGUGUGUUGAGAAGCAUGCUGGAGGUAUCAGAAGUGCGAAUGCUGACGUGAGUAACGACAAAACGGGUGAAAAACCCGUUCGCCGAAAGACCAAGGGUUCCAGUCCAACGUUAAUCGGGGCUGGGUGAGUCGACCCCUAAGGCGAGGCCGAAAGGCGUAGUCGAUGGGAAAAUGGUUAAUAUUCCAUUACUUCUGUGUAAUGCGAUGAGAGGACGGAGAAGGCUAAAUCAGCCUGGCGUUGGUUGUCCAGGUGAAAGGAUGUAGGCAUGUAUCUUAGGCAAAUCCGGGGUACUCUAUGCUGAGAUCUGAUAGCAAGCUGUACUUGUACAGCGAAGUGGUUGAUGCCAUGCUUCCAGGAAAAGUCUCUAAGCUUCAGUUACACAGGAAUCGUACCCGAAACCGACACAGGUGGUCAGGUCGAGUAGACCAAGGCGCUUGAGAGAACUCUGCUGAAGGAACUAGGCAAAAUGGUACCGUAACUUCGGGAGAAGGUACGCUGUUGUUGGUGAUGGAACUCGCUUCCUGAGCUGACGACAGCCGCAGAAACCAGGCCGCUGCAACUGUUUAUUAAAAACAUAGCACUCUGCAAACACGAAAGUGGACGUAUAGGGUGUGAUGCCUGCCCGGUGCUGGAAGGUUAAUUGAUGGGGUUAGCGUAAGCGAAGCUCUUGAUCGAAGCCCCAGUAAACGGCGGCCGUAACUAUAACGGUCCUAAGGUAGCGAAAUUCCUUGUCGGGUAAGUUCCGACCUGCACGAAUGGCAUAAUGAUGGCGGCGCUGUCUCCAGCAGAGGCUCAGUGAAAUCGAAAUCGCUGUGAAGAUGCAGUGUACCCGCGGCUAGACGGAAAGACCCCGUGAACCUUUACUGCAGCUUGACACUGAACUUUGACCUUACUUGUGUAGGAUAGGUGGGAGGCUUUGAAGCUGGAACGCUAGUUCCAGUGGAGCCGUCCUUGAAAUACCACCCUGGUAAUGUUGAGGUUCUAACUCUGUCCCGUGAUCCGGGACGAGGACCGUGUCUGGUGGGUAGUUUGACUGGGGCGGUCUCCUCCUAAAGAGUAACGGAGGAGUACGAAGGUGCGCUCAGCGUGGUCGGAAAUCACGCGUAGAGUAUAAAGGCAAAAGCGCGCUUAACUGCGAGACCCACAAGUCGAGCAGGUACGAAAGUAGGUCUUAGUGAUCCGGUGGUUCUGUAUGGAAGGGCCAUCGCUCAACGGAUAAAAGGUACUCUGGGGAUAACAGGCUGAUACCGCCCAAGAGUUCAUAUCGACGGCGGUGUUUGGCACCUCGAUGUCGGCUCAUCUCAUCCUGGGGCUGAAGCAGGUCCCAAGGGUAUGGCUGUUCGCCAUUUAAAGAGGUACGCGAGCUGGGUUUAGAACGUCGUGAGACAGUUCGGUCCCUAUCUACCGUGGGCGCUGGAAAUUUGAGAGGAUCUGCUCCUAGUACGAGAGGACCAGAGUGGACGAACCUCUGGUGUACCGGUUGUGACGCCAGUCGCAUCGCCGGGUAGCUAUGUUCGGAAGGGAUAACCGCUGAAAGCAUCUAAGCGGGAAGCCUACCUCAAGAUAAGAUUUCCCUAGGACUUUAUGUCCUCUAAAGAGCCGUUCGAGACUAGGACGUUGAUAGGUUGGAUGUGGAAGCAUAGUGAUAUGUGAAGCUGACCAAUACUAAUUGCUCGUGAGGCUUGACUAUACAACACCCAAGCAGUUG
rnacentral:rRNA from 1 species